ACGGGGGGUGCAAGCGUUGUUCGGAAUUAUUGGGCGUAAAGAGCGUGUAGGCGGCGUGAUAAGUCAGAUGUGAAAUCCCUGGGCUCAACCCAGGAAGUGCAUUUGAAACUGUCUUGCUUGAGUACGGGAGAGGGAAGAGGAAUUCCUGGUGUAGAGGUGUAAUUCGUAGAUAUCAGGAGGAACACCGGUGGCGAAGGCGACUUCCUGGCCCGAUACUGACGCUGAGCCGCAAGAGCGUGGGGAGCAAAAAU
rnacentral:rRNA from 1 species